rnacentral:rRNA from 1 species
UACGGCGAGUGAACCGGGAUGAGCUCAAAUUUAAAAUCUGGCGUCUUUCAGGCGUCCGAGUUGUAAUCUAUAGAGGCGUUUUCCGCGCCGGACCGCGUCCAAGUCUCUUGGAAUAGAGUAUCAAAGAGGGUGACAAUCCCGUACUUGACGCGACAACCGGUGCUCUGUGAUACGUUCUCAAUGAGUCGAGUUGUUUGGGAAUGCAGCUCUAAAUGGGUGGUAAAUUCCAUCUAAGGCUAAAUAUUGGCGAGAGACCGAUAGCGAACAAGUACCGUGAGGGAAAGAUGAAAAGCACUUUGGAAAGAGAGUUAAACAGCACGUGAAAUUGUUAAAAGGGAAACGAUUGAAGUCAGUCGUGUGAAAGGUAUUCAGCCGUCUCUGGCGGUGUAUUUGCCUUUCACGGGUCAACAUCAGUUUGAUCCGGUAGAAAAAGGCGGGAGGAAGGUGGCACCCUCGGGUGUGUUAUAGCCUCCUGUCAUAUGUGCCGGACCAGACUGAGGAACGCAGCUUGCCGCAAGGCCGGGGUUCGCCCACGUACAAGCUUAGGAUGUUGACAUAAUGGCUU